GAUUGUAUUUCACUCAAAACCCACCAAAUGACUCCUCCCACAAUAUUAUGAUGUUCCCCAAGUUUUGAACUUAAUCCGAUAUCGAUUGGUCCUUGAAAUCGGACAAUUCAGGUUCGUACGAAGUUCGUUCUGAAAUGGAGUGGUUGGUGUAUUGUAUAGUUCUAGGGAUUGUAUUUCAAUCAAAACCCAUCAAAUGACAACUCCAACAAUAUUAUGAUGUUCCCCAAGUUUUGGACUCAAUCCGAUAUCGAUUGGUCCUUCAAAUCGGACAGUUCAGAUUCUUACGACGUUCUUUCCGAAAUGGUGUGGUUGUUGUGUUGUCUAGUUCUAGGGAUUGGAUUUCACUCAAAACCCAUCAAAUGACAACUCCCACAAUAUUAUGAUGUUCCCCAAGUUUUGGACUCAAUCCGAUAUCGAUUGGUUCUUGAAAUCGGACAAUUCAGGUUCGUACGAAGUUCAUUCCGAAAUGGGGUGGUUGGUGUAUUGUAUAGUUCUAGAGAUUGGAUUUCAUUCAAAACCCACCAAAUGACUCCUCCCACAAUAUUAUGAUGUUCCCCAAGUUUUGGACUCAAUCCGAUAUCGAUUGGUCCUUGAAAUCGGACAAUUCAGUUCGUACGAAGUUCGUUCAGAAAUGGGGUGGUUGGUGUGUUCUAGGGAUUGGAUUUCUCUCAAAACCCAUCAAAUGACAACUACCACAAUAUUAUGAUGUUCCCCAAGUUUUGGACUCAAUCCGAUAUCGAUUGGUCCUUGGAAUCGGGACAAUUCGGGGAUCGGACGAAGGUUAGUUCCGAAAUGGUGUGAUUGGUGUGUUGUAUAGUUCUGGGGAUUGGAUUUCACUCAAAACCCAUCAAAUGACAACUCCCUCAAUAUUAUGAUGUUCCCCAGGUUUUGGACUUAAUCCGGUAUCGAUUGGUCCUUGAAAUCGGAUAAUUCAGGUUCGUACGAAGUUCGUUCUGAAAUGGGGUGAUUGGUGUAUUGUAUUGUUCUAGAGAUUGGAUUUCACUAAAAACCCACCAAAUGACUCCUCCCACAAUAUUAUGAUGUUCCCCACGUUUUGGACUCAAUCCGAUAUCGAUUGGUCCUUGAAAUCGGACAAUUCAGGUUCGUACGAAGUUUGUUCUGAAAUGCGGUGAUUGGUGUAUUGUAUUGUUCUAGAGAUUCGAUUUCACUAAAAACCCACCAAAU
rnacentral:lncRNA from 1 species